AGUCUAGAGAUGGACUCAAACCAUCGACCUCCGUUUACCGGACAGGUGUUCUACCAACCAAGCUACCGAGGAC
rnacentral:tRNA from 11 species